rnacentral:rRNA from 1 species
GCUUGUUGGUGAGGUAAUGGCUCACCAAGGCGACGACGGGUAGCCGGCCUGAGAGGGUGACCGGCCACACUGGGACUGAGACACGGCCCAGACUCCUACGGGAGGCAGCAGUGGGGAAUAUUGCACAAUGGGCGCAAGCCUGAUGCAGCGACGCCGCGUGAGGGAUGACGGCCUUCGGGUUGUAAACCUCUUUCAGUAGGGAAGAAGCGAAAGUGACGGUACCUGCAGAAGAAGCACCGGCUAACUACGUGCCAGCAGCCGCGGUAAUACGUAGGGUGCGAGCGUUAUCCGGAAUUAUUGGGCGUAAAGAGCUCGUAGGCGGUUUGUCGCGUCUGUCGUGAAAGUCCGGGGCUUAACCCCGGAUCUGCGGUGGGUACGGGCAGACUAGAGUGCAGUAGGGGAGACUGGAAUUCCUGGUGUAGCGGUGGAAUGCGCAGAUAUCAGGAGGAACACCGAUGGCGAAGGCAGGUCUCUGGGCUGUAACUGACGCUGAGGAGCGAAAGCAUGGGGAGCGAACAGGAUUAGAUACCCUGGUAGUCCAUGCCGUAAACGUUGGGCACUAGGUGUGGGGACCAUUCCACGGUUUCCGUGCCGCAGCUAACGCAUUAA